rnacentral:ncRNA from 1 species
UUUAUGCCAACGACAUGGAAAGUAAUUGUAUAAUUGACUGACAAGAGAGGGACGGACGUGGCUGAAAUCCAUCCUACAGUGAUUUACAAUGAAUAACACCAUCGAGGCUCUGUGCUGAACGAUUUCUAAUUCAGUAAGUACAGACGGAACCGGCCGUUAUCCGGUUUUAGAGUGGGCGCAAACUUUUGCGUCAAUUUGGGUGGAACCGCGGAAGCUAUAAAGGCUCUCGUCCCUUGC